UGCUGAGCGUGGCUGAGCAGCUCUUUCUGUUCUUCUUCCUCCCCUGUUGUCUUCCCUGCUGAAAAACCUUCCCCGUGUGCAGCUGGGGACCAACCUGUUCCGUGAGGAGCCCCUGCCUUACCUGGUGUACCAGCCCCUGCCCUGGCAGAUCCAGUGCGUGUCCCAGAGCCGCCGCACCAGCCGGGACAGCGAGAGAGGCAGGAACUCCCGGCACAACAGCAUCUACUCGCUUUCUGGAGAGAAAGGUGACGUGACCCCUGAUGGCAGCAAGGAGAGCAAGGUCACUGACCCCUCUGAGAGGGCAGCCAUCACCAUCCAGACCCACUUCAGGAGGUACCAGCAGCAGAAGCAGGAGAAGAAGUAGCCACAGCAGCCACCUGUGGCCUGCACUGUCCCUCCUGUUUGUGUGUUCUGUACCCCAGAGGCAUUUGGGGCUGUGGUGACUGUGAACCUGCCCCGAUUCGUAGCUCCUGGUGCAGGUGUAGGUUCUCUGCCCUUGUGUUGGUGCUCACAGGAGUUCUCC